rnacentral:lncRNA from 1 species
GAGGAGCGCAGGGGACAGGACAGAGGGGUCCCUCCCCGAAGCAGAGCCGCCCUGCGCCUCGUCCCUGUGCUGAUCCCCGCCCUCAUCCGAGGCUGGAGCGCAGACCCACCCUCCCACCGCGGACCCGCGACCUCCCCGACGCCCGGCGACGCCCUGACCCUCGCUGCUGGUCCGCGAACUCCCUAGGCUGAUCAGGACCUGCCCCUGUGCCGGCUGCCACCCGGACGCCGCACGCCUUCCCAGGCGCCCUUUUCCGAGCAGAGGGAAAGAGAAGAUCGAGCCCCUCUCAGUGUGAAUGCGCCAACGGGCGGAGCGGAGCGGAGCGGACACCGCGCGCGGGCAUUGUGUGUGCGCGUGCAGCGUGGGGUCCGCAGCGGGGAGCACCCGCGGGAGGUCCCGUUUCCAAGGGGCGGAGCGCAGGGCUUCCAGUUCUGGGCUCCCUGUCCGGACAGAGUCCCAGCGGAGCCCGACCGCUGCCUAGGCGGCGGGACGGCGCGCCUGGCGGCCAGGAGGGCGCACUGAAAGAAGGUCGGCGAGCCCUGGUCCCCGCGGUUCCCGAUCGAGUUCCUCUUCAGUCCGCGAAUCUGCGGGAGAGGUUCGAUCGCCGACACAGGGCGCGGGGAGCCGGGCCGCCCCGUCGGGGGAAUCUGAGACGUCCUCUGGGCUGCGUUUGACUGCCGUGCCCGCCGUGCACGGAGCGCGUCCACUGUGUCCACCGACCCCUUUGGUGUCUGGUCCUCGAGUCCUCACGGCGUGCACCAUGAGCGGCGGCGAAGUGGUUUGCUCGGGAUGGCUCCGCAAGUCGCCCCCGGAGAAGAAGUUGAAGCGUUAUGUAAGUACAGGUCAGGUCACCGUCUGCCCCGCUGCAGCAGCCUGCGCGCCCGGUUGGCUCUUCCACGAAUCCCGCCCUCCUUUUCCUCGAUCCGUCUCUCGGCCGGCGGGCUCCGGACCGGGUGCGGUCCACUCCCACCCUGACGUCCACUCGGCGGCCAAACUUUCUCCCUCCAUAUUGCAGACUGCCUCCCUUGUAGGCCUCGUUGCCUGUUAGAGAAGCCCAGUUUUCCAGCUCAAAACUGGCUGCAUACUUUGGUUGUUGUUAUUUCCAUUUAGCAAGGGUGGAGUGAAACAGGGAGAAAGAGCCUUCUUUUAUUAUCUGUAUCAGAUUCUCAUGGAGCUGUUAAAUCUCCCCUCCCCGAGAAACCGCGGAGGUAGUAAGUACUCAUGGGUUCUCGAUUGGGUCCGCGCCCGCUCUCCUUUGCGCCUCCAGGAGGUGGAGGGAAGUGAACUGUGGACGCAAGAAGUGGAUAAUAUAGGCAAACUUCUCAAAAUAUUCGCUCAAGGGAAAGGGGAAAAAAGUUCUUAUGAACCCUGCCGUCUGCUUAGCAUUUUCAUGGUUUUGCUUUGAGGACACUGGAUUUUGGCCUGAGAACCCUGGCGGUUUGAUUCGGCAGGAGGGCGCUGGGGGGAGCCUGGUGGCUGGUGUUUGGGCGCCUUAGAAGCGCUGUCAAGCCCCGCAGGAGGGGACAGCUGAAGCCAACAGGGAUUUCUUGAUGCUGGCGUUUCUUUUCCCGGGCACCAGAACGGCUUAACUGGUAUUUGCGUAAUUGAUUCAAGAUGCUGAUUGUGAGAUGACUGUGUUCACGGUUAGGAAAACUGUAUCUUGAAGGAGCCUAUAAUACUUGAGUGGAACUAUAUCCUCAUCGGGAAUCUAGGGUCCUAAGUCUUCCUUCAGAUUGGCUAAUUUUGCGAUGUACCCUGUCAGUAAAGAAAUGACACUUUGUACCGGCAUUUGAAACAAGUAUUUUUAGGGUGAAAUGUGUUUCCCAAAAGCAAAACGUGUACCCACUUAAUUAGAGUUUACUACCUGUUUUGAUGAAACCUGUUUCUGGUGGAGGGGCGUCUACACCAAGAAUCAUCGGACUACUCGCUUGCUUGUGUGAAACCAGGCAAUAUUUAUUUUCACGGAGCUCACCAGCGAGUUUCGGGCUCACCUUCUGGUAUAAUUUAAUACAGCCAAGUAAUUUCAUUGAAAGAUGUGAUUUGACAAAUUGUCAGAGGUUCCCCAAAGAUGUCUCUCCAUCUGUCACAGUUUGCUUGGAUUUCUUGGUAAAGAUGGCAACUUGAUUCC